GAAUUCAACUCCUACGGGAGGCAGCAGUGGGGAAUUUUGGACAAUGGGCGAAAGCCUGAUCCAGCCAUGCCGCGUGUGUGAAGAAGGUCUUCGGAUUGUAAAGCACUUUAAGUUGGGAGGAAGGGCAGUUACCUAAUACGUGAUUGUUUUGACGUUACCGACAGAAUAAGCACCGGCUAACCCUGUGCCAGCAGCCGCGGUAAUACAGAGGGUGCAAGCGUUAAUCGGAAUUACUGGGCGUAAAGCGCGCGUAGGUGGUUUGUUAAGUUGAAUGUGAAAUCCCCGGGCUCAACCUGGGAACUGCAUCCAAAACUGGCAAGCUAGAGUAUGGUAGAGGGUAGUGGAAUUUCCUGUGUAGCGGUGAAAUGCGUAGAUAUAGGAAGGAACACCAGUGGCGAAGGCGACUACCUGGACUGAUACUGACACUGAGGUGCGAAAGCGUGGGGAGCAAACAGGAUUAGAAACCCGAGUAGUCCAGGCGUU
rnacentral:rRNA from 1 species